rnacentral:misc_RNA from 1 species
AACGCACAUUGCACCCGGUGGUAUUCCGCCGGGUAUGCCUGUCUGAGCGUCAUUUCUACCCUCAAGCCUCGCUUGGUGUUGGCGGAUCGCCCGCUGCGGCGACCGCUAAAAAUCAACGGCGGUAGCGCCCGUGUCCCCUGUAUAGUACAUUUCUUGCAGCGGUCUGCGGGGGCCCACCAGCCUCGUACCCCACCAAAACGAAAGUUGACCUCAGAUCAGGUAGGAAUACCCGCUGAACUUAA